GAUGAACGCUAGCGGCAGGCUUAAUACAUGCAAGUCGUGGGGCAGCGCAGGUAGCAAUACUGGGCGGCGACCGGCAAACGGGUGCGGAACACGUACACAACCUUCCGAGAAGUGGGGAAUAGCCCAGAGAAAUUUGGAUUAAUACCCCCGUAACAUAACGAUGUGGCAUCACAUUGUUAUUAUAGCUUCGGCGCUUCUUGAUGGGUGUGCGGCUGAUUAGAUAGUUGGCGGGGUAACGGCCCACCAAGUCUACGAUCAGUAGCUGAUGUGAGAGCAUGAUCAGCCACACGGGCACUGAGACACGGGCCCGACUCCUACGGGAGGCAGCAGUAAGGAAUAUUGGUCAAUGGACGCAAGUCUGAACCAGCCAUGCCGCGUGAAGGAUUAAGGUCCUCUGGAUUGUAAACUUCUUUUAAUCUGGGGACGAAAAAAGGCGAUUCUUCGUCACUUGACGGUACCAGAUGAAUAAGCACCGGCUAACUCCGUGCCAGCAGCCG
rnacentral:rRNA from 1 species